UACGUAGGGGGCAAGCGUUGUCCGGAUUUAUUGGGCGUAAAGAGCGUGUAGGCGGCCAGGUAGGUCCGUUGUGAAAAACUCGAGGCUCAACCUCGAGACGCCGAUGGAAACCAUCUGGCUAGAGUCCGGAAGAGGAGAGUGGAAUUCCCGGUGUAGCGGUGAAAUGCGCAGAUAUCGGGAAGAACACCCGUGGCUAAGGCGGCUCUCUAGUACGGUACUGACGCUGAGACGCGAAAGCGUGGGGAGCGAACAGG
rnacentral:rRNA from 1 species